rnacentral:rRNA from 1 species
AGUGAACGCUGGCGGUAGGCCUAACACAUGCAAGUCGAACGGCAGCACAGUAAGAGCUUGCUCUUACGGGUGGCGAGUGGCGGACGGGUGAGGAAUACAUCGGAAUCUACUUUUUCGUGGGGGAUAACGUAGGGAAACCUACGCUAAUACCGCAUACGACCUACGGUUGAAAGCAGGGGAUCUUCGGACCUUGCGCGAAUGAAUGAGCCGAUGUCGGAUUAGCUAGUUGGCGGGGUAAAGGCCCACCAAGGCGACGAUCCGUAGCUGGUCUGAGAGGAUGAUCAGCCACACUGGAACUGAGACACGGUCCAGACUCCUACGGGAGGCAGCAGUGGGCAAUAUUGGACAAAGGGCGCAAGCCUGAUCCAGCCAUACCGCGUGGGUGGAGAAGGCCUUCGGGUUGUAAAGACCUUUUGUUGGGAAAGAAAAGCAGCAGGUUAAUACCCCGCUGUUCUGACGGUACCCAAAGAAUAAGCACCGGCUAACUUCGUG